rfam:Triticum urartu cultivar G1812 contig186731, whole genome shotgun sequence.
CUUAUACUCCCUCCGUCCCAAAAUUCUUGUCUUAGAUUUGUCUAGAUACGGAUGUAUCAAGUCAUGUUUUAGUAUUAGAUACAUCCGCAUCUAGACAAAUCUAAGACAAGAAUUUUGGGACGGAGGGAGUAUUUA